rnacentral:rRNA from 1 species
GUUUGAUCCUGGCUCAGGAUGAACGCUAGCGGCAGGCCUAACACAUGCAAGUCGAGGGGCAGCAUAAUGAAUAGCAAUAUUUAUUGAUGGCGACCGGCGGACGGGUGCGUAACGCGUAUGCAACCUGCCCGGGACAGGAGGAUAAUCCGAAGAAAUUUGGUCUAACACUCCGUAAUACUGACGAAGGCAUCUUUGUCGGUUGAAAACUGAGGUGGUUCCGGAUGGGCAUGCGUGAUAUUAGCUGGAUGGAGAGGUAACGGCUCACCAUGGCUACGAUAUCUAGGGGAACUGAGAGGUUAAUCCCCCACACUGGUACUGAGACACGGACCAGACUCCUACGGGAGGCAGCAGUGAGGAAUAUUGGUCAAUGGGAGGAAUCCUGAACCAGCCAUGCCGCGUGCAGGACGACGGCUCUACGAGUUGUAAACUGCUUUUGUACCGGGGUAAAAUGCCUUACGAGUAGGGUUUUGAAAGUACGGUACGAAUAAGGAUCGGCUAACUCCGUGCCAGCAGCCGCGGUAAUACGGAGGAUCCGAGCNUUNUCCCGGAUUCCAUUGGGGUUUAAANGGGUGCGUUAGGUUGUUUUUAUAAGUUAGGCGGUUGNAAAUACCCGAUGCUCAACAUNCGGGGCUGCCGCCUGAUNACUGUAGGACUAGAGAUCGGAAUGCAGCAGGCGGGAAUGUGUAGUGUAGCGGUGAAAAUGCAUAGAUAUUACACAGAACACCGAUUGCGAAGGCAGCUUGCUAGGCCCGGAUCUGACACUGAUGCACGAAAGCGUGGGGAUCGAACAGGAUUAGAUACCCUGGUAGUCCACGCAGUAAACGAUGAUAACUAGUUGUCGGCGAUACACAGUCGGUAACCCAGCGAAAGCGAUAAGUUAUCCACCUGGGGAGUACGACCGCAAGGGUUGAAACUCAAAGGAAUUGACCGGGGGCCCCGCACAAGCGGANGAACAUGUGGUUUUAAUUCGAUGAUACNCNGAGGAACCUUUACCCGGGCUUGAAANUUAGUGACAGGAAGGANAAAUCCUCUCUCCCUUCGGGGCACGAAACUNNGGNGCUGCAUGGUUGUCGUCAGCUCGUGCCGUGAGGUGUCGGGUUAAGUCCCAUAACGAGCGCAACCCCUAUCGAUAGUUGCCAUCAAGUGAUGUUGGGGACUCUAUCGAGACUGCCGGUGUAAACCGCGAGGAAGGCGGGGAUGACGUCAAAUCAGCACGGCCCUUACGUCCGGGGCGACACACGUGUUACAAUGGCCGGUACAGAGGGCAGCUACCUGGUGACAGGAUGCGAAUCUCGAAAGCCGGUCUCAGUUCGGAUUGCAGGCUGGAACUCGCCUGCAUGAAGUUGGAUUCGCUAGUAAUCGCGCAUCAGCCAUGGCGCGGUGAAUACGUUCCCGGGCCUUGUACACACCGCCCGUCAAGCCAUGAAAGUCGGGGGUGCUUGAAGUACGCUUACCGUAAGGGGCGUCNUAAGGCAAAACCGAUAAUUGGGGCUAAGUCGUAANCAAGGUAACC